rnacentral:rRNA from 1 species
UGACCUCGGAUCAGGUAGGAAUCCCGCUGAACUUAAGCAUAUCAAUAAGCGGGAGA